ACUAGCAUAUCAAUAAGCGGAGGAAAAGAAACCAACAGGGAUUGCCCUAGUAACGGCGAGUGAAGCGGCAACAGCUCAAAUUUGAAAUCUGGCGUCUUUGGCGUCCGAGUUGUAAUUUGCAGAGGGCGCUUUGGCAUUGGCAGCGGUCCAAGUUCCUUGGAACAGGACGUCACAGAGGGUGAGAAUCCCGUACGUGGUCGCUAGCCUUUACCGUGUAAAGCCCCUUCGACGAGUCGAGUUGUUUGGGAAUGCAGCUCUAAAUGGGAGGUAAAUUUCUUCUAAAGCUAAAUACUGGCCAGAGACCGAUAGCGCACAAGUAGAGUGAUCGAAAGAUGAAAAGCACUUUGGAAAGAGAGUUAAAAAGCACGUGAAAUUGUUGAAAGGGAAGCGCUUGCAGCCAGACUUGCCUGUAGUUGCUCAUCCGGGUUUUUACCCGGUGCACUCUUCUAUAGGCAGGCCAGCAUCAGUUUGGGCGGUUGGAUAAAGGUCUCUGUCACGUACCUCCUCUCGGGGAGAACUUAUAGGGGAGACGUAAUGCAACCAGCCUGGACUGAGGUCCGCGCAUCUGCUAGGAUGCUGGCGUAAUGGCUGUAAGCGGCCCGUCUUGAAACACGGACCAAGGAGUCUAACAUCUAUGCGAGUGUUUGGGUGUCAAGCCCGAGCGCGUAAUGAAAGUGAACGGAGGUGGGAACCUUUCGGGGUGCACCAUCGACCGAUCCUGAUGUCUUCGGAUGGAUUUGAGUAAGAGCAUAGCUGUUGGGACCCGAAAGAUGGUGAACUAUGCUUGAAUAGGGUGAAGCCAGAGGAAACUCUGGUGGAGGCUCGCAGCGGUUCUGACGUGCAAAUCGAUCGUCAAAUUUGGGCAUAGGGGCGAAAGACU
rnacentral:rRNA from 1 species